UACGUAGGGUGCGAGCGUUGUCCGGAAUUAUUGGGCGUAAAGAGCUUGUAGGCGGUCUGUCGCGUCUGCUGUGAAAAUCCGGGGCUCAACCCCGGACUUGCAGUGGGUACGGGCAGACUAGAGUGUGGUAGGGGAGACUGGAAUUUACGGUGUAGCAGUGAAAUGCGUAGAGAUCGUAAGGAAGACCAGUGGCGAAGGCGGGUCUCUGGACAGUUCCUGACACUGAGGCACGAAGGCCAGGGGAGCAAACGGG
rnacentral:rRNA from 1 species